rnacentral:rRNA from 1 species
GUAGGGUGCAAGCGUUAAUCGGAAUUACUGGGCGUAAAGCGUGCGCAGGCGGUUUUGUAAGACAGGCGUGAAAUCCCCGGGCUCAACCUGGGAAUGGCGCUUGUGACUGCAAAGCUGGAGUGCGGCAGAGGGGGAUGGAAUUCCGCGUGUAGCAGUGAAAUGCGUAGAUAUGCGGAGGAACACCGAUGGCGAAGGCAAUCCCCUGGGCCUGCACUGACGCUCAUGCACGAAAGCGUGGGGAGCAAAC